CCUACGGGCGGCAGCAGUGGGGAAUAUUGCACAAUGGGGGAAACCCUGAUGCAGCGACGCCGCGUGAGUGAAGAAGUAUUUCGGGAUGUAAAGCUCUAUCAGCAGGGAAGAGAAUGACGGUACCUGAGGAAGAAGCCACGGCUAACUACGUGCCAGCAGCCGCGGUAAUACGUAGGGGGCAAGCGUUAUCCGGAGUUACUGGGUGUAAAGAGAGGGUAGACGGCGACGCAAGUCGGAAGUGAAAGUCCGCGGCUCAACCGCCGAACUGCUUUGGAAACUUUUUUGCUGGAGUACCGGAGAGGUAAGCGGAAUUCCUAGUGUAGCGGUGAAAUUCGUAGAUAUUAGGA
rnacentral:rRNA from 1 species